AGUGAACGCUGGCGGCAGGCCUAACACAUGCAAGUCGAACGGCAGCACAGGGGAGCUUGCUCCCUGGGUGGCGAGUGGCGGACGGGUGAGGAAUACAUCGGAAUCUACCCUUUCGUGGGGGAUAACGUAGGGAAACUUACGCUAAUACCGCAUACGAUCUGAGGAUGAAAGCAGGGGACCGCAAGGCCUUGCGCGAUUGGAUGAGCCGAUGUCCGAUUAGCUAGUUGGCGGGGUAAAGGCCCACCAAGGCGACGAUCGGUAGCUGGUCUGAGGGGAUGAUCAGCCACACUGGAACUGAGACACGGUCCAGACUCCUACGGGAGGCAGCAGUGGGGAAUAUUGGACAAUGGGCGCAAGCCUGAUCCAGCCAUGCCGCGUGUGUGAAGAAGGCCUUCGGGUUGUAAAGCACUUUUGUUGGGAAAGAAAUCCUGUCGGCUAAUACCCGGCUGGGAUGACGGUACCCAAAGAAUAAGCACCGGCUAACUUCGUGCCAGCAGCCGCGGUAA
rnacentral:rRNA from 1 species